rnacentral:rRNA from 1 species
UAGGGAAUCUUCCGCAAUGGACGCAAGUCUGACGGAGCAACGCCGCGUGAGUGAAGAAGGAUUUCGGUUCGUAAAACUCUGUUGUUAGAGAAGAACAGCGCAUAGAGUAACUGUUAUGCGUGUGACGGUAUCUAACCAGAAAGCCACGGCUAACUACGUGCCAGCAGCCGCGGUAAUACGUAAGGUCCGAGCGUUGUCCGGAAUCAUUGGGCGUAAAGGGUACGUAGGCGGGUAAGCAAGUUAGAAGUGAAAUCCUGUAGCUCAACUACAGUAAGCUUUUAAAACUGCUCAUCUUGAGAUAAGGAAGGGAAAGUGGAAUUCCUAGUGUAGCGGUGAAAUGCGCAGAUAUUAGGAGGAAUACCGGUGGCGAAGGCGACUUUCUGGCCAUAAUCUGACGCUGAGGUACGAAAGCGUGGGUAGCAAACAGG